GUGGGGAAUUUUGGACAAUGGGGGCAACCCUGAUCCAGCCAUGCCGCGUGCGGGAAGAAGGCCUUCGGGUUGUAAACCGCUUUUGUCAGGGAAGAAAUCCUUUGGGUUAAUACCUCGGAGGGAUGACGGUACCUGAAGAAUAAGCACCGGCUAACUACGUGCCAGCAGCCGCGGUAAUACGUUGGGUGCGAGCGUUAAUCGGAAUUACUGGGCGUAAAGCGUGCGCAGGCGGUUUUGUAAGAUCGAUGUGAAAUCCCCGGGCUCAACCUGGGAACUGCAUUGGUGACUGCAAGGCUGGAGUGCGGCAGAGGGGGAUGGAAUUCCGCGUGUAGCAGUGAAAUGCGUAGAUAUGCGGAGGAACACCGAUGGCGAAGGCAAUCCCCUGGGCCUGCACUGACGCUCAUGCACGAAAGCGUGGGGAGCAAACAGGAUUAGAAACCCGAGUAGUCC
rnacentral:rRNA from 1 species